rnacentral:tRNA from 1 species
GGAGUGUUGGUCGAGUGGUUUAAGGCAUCUCACUGCUAACGAGACGAAGGUAAAACUUCCGCAGGUUCGAAUCCUGCACACUCCGCCA